UACGAAGGGGGCUAGCGUUGUUCGGAAUUACUGGGCGUAAAGGGCGCGUAGGCGGAUCGGCAAGUCAGAAGUGAAAUCCCUGGGCUCAACCCAGGAAUUGCUUUUGAGACUGUCGGUCUUGAGUACAGGAGAGGUGAGUGGAAUUCCCAGUGUAGAGGUAAAAUUCGUAGAUAUUCGGAAGAACACCAGUGGCGAAGGCGGCUCACUGGACCGGUAUUGACGCUGAGGUGCGAAAGCGUGGGGAGCAAACAGG
rnacentral:rRNA from 1 species